rnacentral:rRNA from 1 species
AGCGAACGCUGGCGGCAGGCCUAACACAUGCAAGUCGAACGGAUCCUUCGGGAUUAGUGGCGGACGGGUGAGUAACACGUGGGAACGUGCCCUUUGGUUCGGAACAACUCAGGGAAACUUGAGCUAAUACCGGAUGUGCCCUUCGGGGGAAAGAUUUAUCGCCAUUGGAGCGGCCCGCGUCUGAUUAGCUAGUUGGUGAGGUAACGGCCCACCAAGGCGACGAUCAGUAGCUGGUCUGAGAGGAUGAUCAGCCACACUGGGACUGAGACACGGCCCAGACUCCUACGGGAGGCAGCAGUAGGGAAUCUUGCGCAAUGGGCGAAAGCCUGACGCAGCCAUGCCGCGUGAAUGAUGAAGGUCUUAGGAUUGUAAAAUUCUUUCAGCGGGGACGAUAAUGACGGUACCCGCAGAAGAAGCUCCGGCUAACUUCGUG